rnacentral:rRNA from 1 species
AUUGAACGCUGGCGGCAGGCUUAACACAUGCAAGUCGAGCGAGCGGCGGAGGGGUGAGUCAUGGCUGGGAAACUGCCUGAUGGAGGGGGAUAACGACUGGAAACGGUAGCUAAUAGCGCAUACCAUAAGAUGUGCCGCGAUGGGAUUAGCUAGUAGGUGGGUGAAUGGCAACCCUAGGCGGCGAUCCCUAGCUGGUCUGAGAGGGUGACCAGCCACACUGGAACUGAGACACGGUCCAUACUCCUACGGGAGGCAGCAGUGGGGAAUAUUGCACAAUGGGCGCAAGCCUGAUGCAGCCAUGCCGCGUGUGUGAAGAAGGCCUUCGGGUUGUAAAGCACUUUCGGCGAGGAGGCGUUACUCGCAGAAGAAGCACCGGCUAACUCCGUGCCAGCAGCCGCGGUAAUAC